UGGCUCAGUUGUUAGAGCAUGGUGUUUGCAACGCCAGGGUUGUGGGUUUGAUUCCCAC
rnacentral:tRNA from 1 species